AUUUCUUAGUUAAAACUAACUGCAGCAAUAAAGGUAAGGAAAAUUUUUCAAGGUUUUUCUUUUCUAGCUAUUAUGAGGGUUUCAUCCACUAACUCUCAUGAACAAUAAGUUUUAUUCUCUGUGUGAAAGUAACUUUGAUGUGAGCCUACCUGAAUCAGAUUGAUUUCAUUAUACAUCAUUCCUGAUUUUAUAGCCCACUAGGCUAAUUCGUGGAGUUAUUAUCCAUUUUUAGGAAAUCAGAGAAUUGUCCAGACAUUCUAGGAAAACAACGCGUAAUCUGUCUCAUUCACAGACCUUCAGUCAUCAUAGAGAAGAAGAGAGGAUAAAAACAGUUGCAGUUGGACUUUCUUCCUGCGAUCAUUCACUACUUAGCUCUUUGUUUUGCUCUAGGGUGAGACCAGAAUUAGACUGUUUCAAGUCACUUCAUGUUCCUAGAAAUCACUUGGCCUUAGACAUACAGCUCUAUUCAAUUCGUUACAGCCUGAUGCUGCCACAGUAGGCAAACGCCACAUUUACAUGUAUAAUUUAAACCUGCACAGAGAACAUCUGCAGCAAAACCCGCAGAAAGAGCCACCAGGCAGCCGCAGCACGUCCGGGUAGCAGCUCUCUUCUCCACUCUCCAGAGUUCCGUAUUCAGUUGGUCCAGGAGCUGACUCUCAUAUACCUCAGAAGAGUAUUUAACAAGAAGGCAAAGUUUAAGUGGCUUAAAGCCAUCAUCAGGAAAUAUCAUCAGGUCAUGGCUGUGCUGGGUCUUCAUUGCGGCACGCGGGCUGUUCGUUGCAGGAUUCUCUCUAGUUGUGGUGCACGGGCUCAGUAGUUGAGAUGUGCGGGCUCCAGAGUGCGCAGGCUUAGUUGUUCCAUGGCAUGUGGGAUCUUAGUUCCCCAACCAGGGAUCGAACGCAUGUCCCCUGCAUUGGAAGGCGGAUUCUUAACCACUGGACCACCUGGAA